rnacentral:rRNA from 1 species
GGCGGGCGUGCUUAACACAUGCAAGUCGAACGCGAAAAGGGCUUCGGUCCUGGAGUAAAGUGGCGCACGGGUGAGUAACGCGUAGAUAACCUGUCUUCAUGUCUGGAAUAAUACGCCGAAAGGGGUACUAAUACCGGAUAUUCUUGCUUUUUCAUAAGUUAUGCAAGCAAAGGUGGCCUCUGCAUAUGCUACUGCAUGAAGAGGGGUCUGCGUACCAUUAGCUAGUAGGUGGGGUAAUGGCCUACUAGGCGACGAUGGUUAGCGGGUCUGAGAGGAUGAUCCGCCACACUGGCACUGGAACACGGGCCAGACUCCUACGGGAGGCAGCAGUGAGGAAUAUUGCGCAAUGGGGGAAACCCUGACGCAGCGACGCCGGCGUGAGUGAGGAAGGCCUUCGGGUCGUAAGCUCUGUCAAGAGGAAAGAAGUGUACAAUGGCUAAUACCUGUUGUAUUUGACGGUACCUCUAAAGGAAGCACCGGCUAACUCCGUGCCAGCCGCCGC